UAGGGCUUUAGCAGUUUAGCUUUCCUUGUUCCGUCAUUGACUCGUUCAGCGAGUAGGCGACCAACGACUUCAACUGCGACUUGCCGACUUGUCAAUUGUCAUCGUCUCCAACUCCCACCGGCGACCAGCGAGGUUUAUUCAGUGUUUCCGACUUCAAAUUCCUCCUUCCUUCCCGGGGAUUGACUCGUUCGUUCUUAUUCUCGAUCAUCGAGUAGGAGACCAACGACUUCUCCGACGGUGACUAUGACUUUUCAUCGUCUCCAACUCCCACUGGCGACCAGUGAGGUUUAUUAAGUGUUUCCGACUUCAGAUUCCACCUUCCUUCCCGUCACCGCUGCCGACCCCUUCUGCAUUCCAUGAUUUUUGUAAUUAUAUCUUCAGCAGAACCAAGUCAACCUAAUGAUUCAAACACGGUUAAUGAUACCUCCAAUUCUACAGUUAACUGUAACGAGAAACAAAUUAAAUUCACAUCUCCAAUGUGGCGUCAUUUCACCUAUGAAGAAGUUAAUGGAACCAAAAAGGUUGUUUGUAAGUAUUGUAGAAAAGAAAUUACUUACACAACCAAAAAUGGAACCAAAGGGAUGUAUUCUCACCAUAAGUCAUGCAAAAUACGAAUUGGGCAAAAGAAAAUUUAUGAUUUUCAGAGUCAGUUAACCGGAAAAAAAUCUAAGAUGGAUCAAAGUGGGGGAUCAAUUUUAGCAACACAUCAUUUUAAUUAUGACGAUUCGCGAACCGAUCUUGCUAAAAUGAUCGCAAAACAUGAUUACCCACUUAGAAUUGUUGAACACGAACGCUUUAGAGAUUUUUGUCAAGGGCUCCAACCACUUUUUAGGCCUAUUUGUAGAAACACAGCUAGAUUUGAUGUCAUUAAGUUGUACGGUGAGGAAAAGGCAAGGAUGAUGCAUUUUUUGGAGAGUAUUCAAGGUAGGAUUGCAAUAACUACCGACAUGUGGACUGCCAACUACCAAAAAAGAGGAUUCAUGACAGUGACAUCCCAUUUCAUUAAUGAUUAUUGGCAAUUACAAUGUCGUCUUUUGAGGUUUAUAUAUGUGCCAUGUCUCCAUACUACUGAGAAACUAAGUAAUGUGUUGAUGAAUAGUUUGUUGGACUAGAACAUAGAUAAAAAAUUAUCAACUUUAACUUUUGAUAAUUGUUCAACAAAUAAUUGCAUGAUAGAUUUGAUGGUAGACAAACUACCUUUUGAUAGCUUGAUUUUGGGUAGAAGCAUGUUUCAUAUGCGAUGUGCUGCGCAUAUUUUGAAUUUAGUUGUGAGGAGUGGGUUGGAUGUUUUUGGACAUGGGAUUGAGAAAGUGCAUAACAGUUGUAGUUUUUGGACAGCUACACCAAAAAGACUUGACACAUUUCAAAAAAUGCAAAGUGUGAGAAUGUUUCUUGUGAAAAAAAAACCUAGUUGUUGAUUGUAAAACACGAUGGAAUUCUACGUAUUUAAUGCUUUCCACAACUUUGAAAUACAAGAAGGUGUUUUAUCGGUUACAACAACCUGAGCCCCAAUAUAAGAAUGCACCUGAUGAGAUAGAGUGGGCUUUCGCAAGUGAGCUUUGUGAUAGACUAAAAAUCUUUUAUAAUGUCAUAGAAUUAUUUUCGGGAACAAACUAUCCAACAACCAUCAUUUUCCCCAAAAUAUGUGAAAUAAAGAUUGCUUUAAAGAAAUGGGAUACAUCUAGUUUCAUUGAAAUAAGCGAAAUGUCCGAAAAUAUGAUUACAAAGUUUGAUGAGUAUUGGAAAGAAAGUCACGGGGUGUUGGCUAUGGCGAUGAUAUUGGAUCCAAGGUUUAAGAUGAAGCUCCUAGAGUAUUUUUUUUUUCUAUUGUAUAUGGAGUAGAUAAUGCAAAAGAUGAAAUUCAAAAAGUUCGUCAAAUUUGUGAAGAUGUAUAUCUACGAUAUGAGUCAAGCAAGUAAUGAUGAUAUUACUAGUAAGCCCACUUCUAGUCGAGAUGCAGCUCCCGCAAGUGACAUGGACUCAUUAGAUGCUUUCUUUUCAUGGAAUUCUUCUACUAGUGAAGUUUUUGUAAACACGAAUUAGAAAGGUACUUAGAGGAAGGCACUUUACCCCAGAUUCAUGAGUUUGAUGUGUUAGGUUGGUGGAAGUUAAAUGGGAUUAAGUAUCCUACAUUAUGUUUGAUUAAAAAAGACAUAUUAGCCAUUCCUAUCUCCACUGUUUGCUUCAGGGUCUUCUUUUUCUACAAGUGGUAGAAUCGUUGGUCCACAUAGGAGUAGACUUCUUCCGUCAACAAUUGAAGCUAUCAUAUGCACUCAAAAUUGGUUAUGGCCGGGUAAAAAAGGUUGUGUUAUUGAUGGUGAUGAUGUACAUUCAGAUGCAGAUGACGAGGGACUUGAGGAGGACAUUCGAAUGUCAGUGAAUGAAGAGUUGAAGGAAAUUAAUGGAUACCGAAGAUUUAAUGAAUUGGUGUUUUAUAUUUGUAAUUUUGGAUUUGUCGUAUUUUGUAUUUGUAAUGUAGGAUUUGUCUUCAUAAGAUUGUUGGAAUUGUUGGAUUUUUUAAUUUUUAAGUUUUGAAAA